GCAAAACAUAGCUUAUUUAAAGCCUCUUGCUUACACCAAGAAAACUGUUUUUUCACCAAAACUGUUUUGAU
rnacentral:tRNA from 1 species